rnacentral:rRNA from 1 species
AGAGUUUGAUCCUGGCUCAGGACGAACGCUGGCGGUGUGCUUAACACAUGCAAGUCGAACGGUAAGGCCCUUUCGGGGGUACACGAGUGGCGAACGGGUGAGUAACACGUGAGUAACCUGCCCUCAUCUCUGGGAUAACAGUCGGAAACGGUUGCUAAUACUGGAUAUGAGCUUGCAAGGCAUCUUGUGGGUUGGAAAGAUAUUUUUUGGUUGGGGAUGGACUCGCGGCCUAUCAGCUUGUUGGUGAGGUAGUGGCUCACCAAGGCUUCGACGGGUAGCCGGCCUGAGAGGGCGACCGGCCACAUUGGGACUGAGAUACGGCCCAAACUCCUACGGGAGGCAGCAGUGGGGAAUAUUGCACAAUGGACGGAAGUCUGAUGCAGCAACGCCGCGUGCGGGAUGACGGCCUUCGGGUUGUAAACCGCUUUCAAUUGUGACGAAGCUUUUUGUGACGGUAGCAGUAGAAGAAGCACCGGCUAACUACGUGCCAGCAGCCGCGGUGAUACGUAGGGUGCGAGCGUUGUCCGGAUUUAUUGGGCGUAAAGAGCUUGUAGGUGGUUUGUCGCGUCGGGAGUGAAAACUCAGGGCUUAACUCUGAGCUUGCUUUCGAUACGGGCUGACUUGAGGGAGGUAGGGGAGAAUGGAAUUCCUGGUGGAGCGGUGGAAUGCGCAGAUAUCAGGAGGAACACCGGUGGCGAAGGCGGUUCUCUGGACCUUUCCUGACGCUGAGAAGCGAAAGCGUGGGGAGCGAACAGGCUUAGAUACCCUGGUAGUCCACGCCGUAAACGGUGGGUACUAGGUGUGGGGGACAUUCCACGUUCUCCGUGCCGUAGCUAACGCAUUAAGUACCCCGCCUGGGGAGUACGGCCGCAAGGCUAAAACUCAAAGGAAUUGACGGGGCCCCGCACAAGCGGCGGAGCAUGCGGAUUAAUUCGAUGCAACGCGAAGAACCUUA